rnacentral:rRNA from 1 species
GAUGAACGCUGGCGGCGUGCCUAAUACAUGCAAGUCGAGCGAACAGACGAGGAGCUUGCUCCUCUGACGUUAGCGGCGGACGGGUGAGUAACACGUGGAUAACCUACCUAUAAGACUGGGAUAACUUCGGGAAACCGGAGCUAAUACCGGAUAAUAUAUUGAACCGCAUGGUUCAAUAGUGAAAGACGGUUUUGCUGUCACUUAUAGAUGGAUCUGCGCCGCAUUAGCUAGUUGGUAAGGUAACGGCUUACCAAGGCAACGAUGCGUAGCCGACCUGAGAGGGUGAUCGCCCACACUGGAACUGAGACACGGUCCAGACUCCUACGGGAGGCAGCAGUAGGGAAUCUUCCGCAAUGGGCGAAAGCUUGACGGAGCAACGCCGCGUGAGUGAUGAAGGUCUUCGGAUCGUAAAACUCUGUUAUUAGGGAAGAACAAAUGUGUAAGUAACUAUGCACGUCUUGACGGUACCUAAUCAGAAAGCCACGGCUAACUACGUG